UACGGGGGGAGCAAGCGUUGUUCGGAUUUACUGGGCGUAAAGGGCGCGUAGGCGGCCUCUGCAAGUCGACUGUGAAAUCUCCGGGCUUAACCCGGAAAGGUCAGCCGAUACUGCAGGGCUAGAGUGCAGAAGGGGCAACUGGAAUUCUCGGUGUAGCGGUGAAAUGCGUAGAUAUCGAGAGGAACACCUGCGGCGAAGGCGGGUUGCUGGGCUGACACUGACGCUGAAGUACGAAAGCGUGGGGAGCAAACAGG
rnacentral:rRNA from 1 species